GAAAGAGCAGUUUUAGCUUCAUGCGUUUACUGUAAUUACUUAGUAGCAGAUUGUUAUGAAGUCACCCUGUUCAAAAAACAGUCUUGUUUCUUUUGGCUCAUUGCUACAGUGACAGUGUUUUUCUUAAGUUUGUCUGUCUGUUGCACUUACACCCCAGUCUGUCCUGGAGCCUUGAGAGAAACCAGACUGGUCAAUCCAGUUCCUCCUUGUGGGGUGAGAAUCCAUGAGGCCCAGUGAUGCUGGCUGGAAUGUGAAGAAUGAGCUGAGAAGAGUCUUUAACAUUUUACCUGCCUUAAACUACAUACAGCUCGGCUCAAGAUGACUUCGCGUCAGUGUCUGUAGUAACACUGCAGCUACCUAAGUGUUGGUUCAGGGAUGCAAGUCCCAACUUCCAAACUCCAGGACCCUCUGAAUUGCAGUAAAAACCCCAGCUGUGGCCCCAGUUUCACCGGCGAGACAAUGGCAGCACGCUGACAGUAAAGCAGGCAUGGGCUGUGGAGACCGGGAAGUUCCAGGAGGGAGUUGAUGAACCUGAUUCUGCAAAGUCAAAGUGGAAAGCUCAGCUUCAAUGUGCCCUGAACAAAAGCUGAGAACUCAGCCUCAUCUAUGAUGGCAUGAAAGAGGUCCCCAUGAAUCCUUUGAAGAUCUAUGAUGUUUGUGACAUCCCACAGCCUACC